rnacentral:lncRNA from 1 species
AUGGGUUCGUUUAGGGGGCGGGGAGCAGAGCAACGCCUGAUGGGGAGCACAUGCCACCCCCAGAGCGGGUGCUUUGAUCCUCGCCGAGGCCAGGCUGCAACAUCUUGGUCCCUGCGCCAACCGCUGUCCUGGCGAGGCUCCAGGCGUGGGUGGCCUCGCGUGCAGGGAGCCCCGCCGCCCCCGCCACACGAAAGGCGGGACUGGAGCUGUCUCCUCCCGGAGGGGCGACGCUGGAGCGCAGCCCGGCAGACGCACACUCGGCUUCCAGCUAGGAUCCUGGGAGCCACACAAAGGAAAUGGCAAGAUCGUGAGUCACCCCGAGGCCCGGCUGCUGCCUGGGCUGCAGGCCCACAACAGGACCUUUGUGCCGCGCUCCAGGAGGACGAGGGGGCCGUGCUGCAGAGAGGCAGACAUUUCAGGGCGCUGAGUAAUGCUCCGAGAGGGGAGGCAUCGCCGCCGGCAGCGGGACUGGCUCCUGGGCGCCCACCACAACGCCAAGGGACCCAGGCGCCGCUUAGAGGGAGCCCCCUGCCGCCAUCUUGUCACACCGCUUGUCCCUGCUCCUGACUUUCCACUGGGCCUGUGAGUCCACAAGGCCCGGGGUUGGGCUGCAGUCUCCAGAGACCUGCGACUAGAGCUUUGUUACUGGAUAGACCGCUCAGCCCUGGAUCUCCUCUGCUCGGCAGACAUCCUCUCCCAGGAGCCCCUCGGCUCCCUGCUGUUACCCUUCACCCAGGCCCGAAGAGCAGCUCCUUCAAGAAGCUCACAGACUCCUGAGAAGACACAGAGAUUGUCUGCUCGGCUGAAGUCGAAAUAAAACAACUAAACAGACCA